CGUAGGCAAAAGUGUUUUGUUAACGGUCAGUUUUCUGGUAUCUCUUCUACAUCCAGAGGAGUUCCUCAGGGUUCAAUAAUCGGGCCUCUGCUAUUCUUGGUCUAUAUCAAUGAUCUCCCAAACUGCCUGAAUGAGGGUUUCGCAAGGAUGUUUGCUGACGAUACCAACCUAAAUUUUAGUAGUGAUAAUUUAUCUCACCUUGAAUUUCUGAUGAAUUCUAG